AGAAAUUUGAACUCAAAUUACCUCUGAUUCAGUCACUUAACGAAAUAUAACAGGGGAAGAAGGGCUUAGUAAAGGUGCCCGACUCAGUUAAUCACUGGAAAUAGGAGAAAGAGUUGCAAGCUUAUGAGAAAUGACAAAAAAAUAAAUAUAUAGAGGUCAAGGGUUUCCUGAAGAUGGGAUUCCUCCAACAUUUGGGGACCACGGAUGGGAUGCAUAUCCCUAUCUGCACCACCUGGCAUACAAGGGAGGAAUUUCUAAACUGGAAGACUCAUUUUCCAUUUUUCAUUAGGGGACGAUUACUUAGCCUGGCUGUCCUCUUUCCAAACAACUGCAAGUUGACUGAAGCUGCCUUGCUGUACAAUUCUGGGGAAGGGCAAAGAAACCACACCUGAUCACCCAAUAGUGCAGUGAAGUAAAAUGAGAUAUUCACAUGAAAUAUUACACACAAACAAUAGCAAUAGCUGAGAUCAUAAAUGUAUUAUUUCAAAUGUGAAAAGAUCUUACUUCCUUAUGACUUAACAGCAAAACACCACUGGAAGAGAAGGAAACUGUGCAAUACGAUCUGGCCAACGAUAGGACUAAUGUGGUGCAAUUGUGGUACAACAGCAUUACACGAUAUUCUUCUAAGUUUAUUUAUUUUUGGAGUAGAAUGGUUGACUGUCUGGGUGGUAAUAUUUUGUUUUCAUCUGUUUUAUGGUUUUCAAAUCUUCCUUUUUAACAAUUUCAGCUAUAUUUUACAGAGCUUGGAACAUUAGGUUUGUAAAUUAAUAUGAUAAUGCGAACCAUUAGAAACUGGAAAAUUAAUCUGCUACCAUAAACACUAAUGAUCAAAAUGGUUUAAUGGGUUGAGUCGUUGAUUAAAAUAUGAGUGUUGUGGCAGACCAUGUUACAAAUUACAUAUUACAAAACAUGUCAUGGAGUUUGUCACUAUUGUACUUGGCAAAGUACGUUUUGUGACCAGUAUUUUCAAAAAGACUCCUUUUGUCCUUUUAACAUUGCCUUAUUCCAACCUGAAAUUUAUCUCCAUAUGGACUACAAAGCCCAUAAUAGGAUUGAUCAUUGUCUGGGAAUGAUGGGAUGGGAAUCCAACAUGUUUGGGAACUAAUAGGUUGGGGAAGACUUUUCAAAGAAGGGGAUCUCAUUUCCUCAAUUAUGUCUGAUAGCCACAUCUUUUCUUUCCAUACAUCCAUUAAGAUGUACAGUCAACUCAUAUUCAAAUGCUUUGUUUCUUAAUAUCAAUAAUGAGUAAUUUAUUUAUUUUAGGGCAGUGAUCAAGAACAAGCGGAUGGCUACAAAGCUGGGUCAAUGAAUUAAGAGUUAAGAAUAAUUAAUGCAAAAUACUUGAGAGUCACUGAACAUACAGAAAACAUUUUCCUUCACAAGUGAAAUAAUUGAUUCUUUCUGCUUAUCUAUUCCUGAACAAGAACAGUGAUCUUCAAACAUCAACAGUAUUUGAAAAAUUGCAUCUCCUUGUAUAAACCAGCACAAGCACUUUGUUCUAUGGAGGAGGUCCUGCUCUUGAUCCCAUCCUCGUCUCAAGUGCGGUUGGUGGGAACGAGAGAGGGUAUUGUGGCUCACGGCCUAUACUUCCUACAGAGAUAGAUUUGGAAACAGAUUCUACUUCGGAUUUAGGAGCCGUUCCGGACAUGGAACGAGGCCCAUUGCCCUUGCAGCUGCCUGAAAUGGUGGUGCCAGAAGAUCCACUAACUCCGAUGUCUCCUCAAGGUUGGUUUUGCCAGAUGGUGUUGACUUGGGCGAAGAGGGGUUGUUUAAUCGGAAGGAAUCUUUCAUGAGAGAUAGAAGCAGAAGGGAGGGUGUGAGAAGAAGUAAAAGGUUAGCUCUCAGAUUUGAUAAUGACUAACUUUCCCAUGUGAAGCUUUGUGCGUCAUGCACUCCCAUAUUCUUGCAACCUUGGGAUAUCCUUAAAGGUGUCCUCCUUUGUGUUUCUCAUUGUGAUGUCAACUUUACUUUCCUCAGAAGCGGUUCCAGUAUCCAGCUCCUAGCCUUGUUUCUUGCCUUGUUCCCCUGCCUGGUUUCCAGUUCCAUCCAAGCCGCGCCGCGUCCCAUGACUCUUGAGUAGGUCUUGUUUGUUUACCUUGCUUUCCUUUUUCCUGUCAAGACUUUCCAUCCAAGCUGUGCCGCUUCCUGUGACUCUCGAGUAGACCUUGUUUGUUUACCUUGCUUUCCCUUUUCCUGUGGUGGGACUCUCCAAGUGGAUUACAGUUUGCAGAUUUGCAGCGUCUUAUUCCUGCUUCUUGGUUUAUGGACUAACUUCAAUUCUUGGUGGAACUAACGAGUUUCACUUGUGGAUUACAAAUGGGACAUUGUUGAACUUGUUUUGAACUGUUAAAGACUCUACAUUAAGGACUAUUUCUCAUACUGACUUCGUACGCUAGCUGCUCAUAGAUAUAUACAGUAGAGUUUCACUUAUCCAACAUUCGCUUAUCCAACGUUCUGGAUUAUCCAAUGCAUUUUUGUAUUCAAUCUUUUCAAUACAUCGUGAUAUUUUGGUGCUAAAUUCAUAAAUACAGUGAUUACUACAUAGCAUUACUUCAUAUUGAACUACUUUUUCUGUCAAAUUUGUUGUAUAACAUGAUGUUUUGGUGCUUAAUUUGUAAAAUCAUAACUUAAUUUGGUGUUUAAUAGGCUUCUCCUUAAUCUCUCCUUGUUAUCCAACAUAUUCGCUUAUCCAAUGUUCUGCUGGCCCGUUUAUGUUGGAUAAGUGCGACUCUACUGUAUAUAUAUACCUUAAUAAACUGCUUGUGUGUGAUACUGGUUUCUAUCUGGUUUUCAGGGUGCUCUUGUAGCCUUGGGGUGUAAGAGAGGGGCCUUCUCUGUGGCUGCCUCCCGCCUCUGGGACUCCCUCCCAAAAGAACUAAAAUGGCCCCCUCUCUCCUCUCCUUUUAAAAUGCUUCUAAAGACACAUUUAUGUAAUCUCACUUAUGGAGAGGAGGAGCAAUAACACAACUGAUACACACUCCCACCCUGACAACGGAUAUUUACUUCAACUUGCUGAUAUGCUAUGUUAUAUUGUGCUUUUAAUAUAUUGUUUAUUAAUUGGUA